rnacentral:rRNA from 1 species
UACAGAGACUGCAAGCGUUAUUCGGAUUCACUGGGCGUAAAGGGUGCGCAGGCGGUUGGGUGUGUCAGAUGUGAAAUCCCGAGGCUUAACCUCGGAACUGCGUCUGAAACUACUCGACUAGAGUACUGGAGAGGGUAACGGAAUUCACGGUGUAGUGGUGAAAUGCGUAGAUAUCGGGAGGAACACCAGUGGCGAAGGCGACUACCUGGCCUGUUCUUGACGCUGAGGCGCGAAAGCUAGGGGAGCAAACGGG